CACCACCUCCAGCGCCACCACCAC
rnacentral:siRNA from 1 species